rnacentral:rRNA from 1 species
GACGAACGCUGGCGGCGUGCUUAACACAUGCAAGUCGAACGGAAAGGCCCUGCUUUUGUGGGGUGCUCGAGUGGCGAACGGGUGAGUAACACGUGAGUAACCUGCCCUUGACUUUGGGAUAACUUCAGGAAACUGGGGCUAAUACCGGAUAGGAGCUCCUGCUGCAUGGUGGGGGUUAGAAAGUUUUGGCGGUUGGGGAUGGACUCGCGGCUUAUCAGCUUGUUGGUGGGGUAGUGGCUUACCAAGGCUUUGACGGGUAGCCGGCCUGAGAGGGUGACCGGCCACAUUGGGACUGAGAUACGGCCCAGACUCCUACGGGAGGCAGCAGUGGGGAAUAUUGCACAAUGGGCGGAAGCCUGAUGCAGCAACGCCGCGUGCGGGAUGACGGCCUUCGGGUUGUAAACCGCUUUCGCCUGUGACGAAGCGUGAGUGACGGUAAUGGGUAAAGAAGCACCGGCUAACUACGUG